UGACAAUGUGGGAUUGAAAUAAAACAGACAAGGUAUGUUUAAUACUCCUUUAAAGCUGCAUUCUUUGAUUUAAUGGAGCCUUAUUGCACAUGUUGUCUCUGUUAUAGUUUAACUCUUGGCAGACCUAGUGUCCGUGUAAGUGUGUGUAUGAAUCUGGUCAUUGUAACAGUUUAACAGCUGGCUCAUUAUCUGAGUUAUACACACACAUAUGAAAUCCCCAUCAGACUCGACCACAUCAAUUCUUCUCGAGUAUUACCUCAAUUCACUCAGGCCAUUUUAGGGUUUGCCUGAGUGCAUGUUUGCGUGCAUAAGUGUUUCUUUCUGUUGCAGCUGGCUUCUUCUGCUUUUGACGCAGCCAAUGACUGACUGUGUGCUGUUUUCUUUUUUCUCCUCCCUUUUUUCAUCUUGAACUUUUUUUUUUAUGUCUAAAAACGAAGACAGGUUUUUCUAACUGAGGCUGGAGAUAAUAACCGACAAAGGCAGGUUAUUUUAGUGGCCUGAUUACAGUGGAAACAAGGGUCAUCUAGUCUGGUAUCACAAGACCAAACACACAAAAAAGUUUGAUUUCAUAACAAUCAAUAUGCCGUUAGAUACCAUAAAAAACAAACAAGGAAGAAUCGGAGACAUGGAUCUAACUUCUGUUAAUGAUGGUUUCUACUUCAUUUAGGUCAUUCAUGGCCAGCAACAGUCACUGCUGUGCAUCAUUCAUUGCGAUCCAGUUGUUCAGUACUGGCAAGAUGAGGGGAUUAGAACCACACAUCAACAGCAGCCAUCUUAGCUGCCAGUGCUGCUGCAAGUGUGAUUUCUAUUUGAUCUCGGUAGUUUGAAAAGUCGUCUGGGACACCCCUUGAAGUCUGUUCUCCUACGCUGAAAACCAGAGGAACUUAAGUAACCCUGAACUCAAAACCCAAGAUGGCUGCAUCGUACCUUGUGCAUGUUUAUGAGCAACUCAGUCUUAUUUUGUGGCACUAAAUCAAACAUACCGAUAGUAUUGCGCAACAUCUAUCCGUGGACUUUUGUCAUGUUGCAUUUGUGCACAAACUAUGAAGUAGUUCAUUGUUAUCGUUUGGCAUUAGCUAACAAAGCAAACAACAAUGAAAGCUAAGGGCUGAACACCUUCCAAAGUUGAAAUGAAACACAGUCCACUUGUCUGAUGUAACCCUCCAGCGCCCAGAAUCCAAGGUAAAGAAAACACACAACAAAGCUCAUACAGUGGGAUAUGAACAGCUGUGAUUGGCCUGACCUGAAUUAGACCAGAUAGAAAAGCAUUUGAAUGGAAAAGGGGAAGAUGCAUCUGUCCGAGUCAAUCGAGCUUCGCCUGGUUCCUAGGCUGAGGUUCAUUGUUUCCAGAUUUGCACCAUAAAAUGCCACGAUUGAGGGAAAAAAAGAUGGAAAGAAACAGACGAAAUUUUUGUAAGCUUGUCUUCAUGCAUCUAAAUAAGAUGCAAAGAGAGAAGAGAGACAGCACAUUUCAGAAAAUAAGGUUCAAAUGAGUUCAAUCAAAUUAAGAUGUUCAAAAGGCAGAGCUCUGUCUCUAUCAGCCCUGUGGAAAGAUGUUACUUUCAGCAUGUUUUUGUAGCGAUUCCAGUCAAAGGUCUCCAACAAAACAUAUGGAUACACCUCAAACAAAAGCUCCAAGCAUGAGAAUUUGGAUCUAAGGGUAUUAAAGCACCACGAGGUGUCCAGCUUUAAAACAUCUGGAAGAUGAGCACAGACAAGUUUAAAACCUGGCAGCAAGUCGAGGAGAAGAGGAUGUGAAGAAGCCCACUUUCCAUCACCUCCGUCCCAGCCUGUCUUCACUUGGAGCUGUGGUCAAGUGUAUAAUGUAAAACAAAUCUUGUCACUGGAACCUCUUUCUGUUUCUGAUGUCAAAUAUUUGCCUGGCUUAAAGGAAAACUACAUUUAUCCUCAAACGUUAACAGCUUACAAAGAUCUUUAUUGACUGGUUAUGGUAUGAAAGGAGUGGCCAGCGAGCUGAUGUAAGCCCCAGAGGUCUUCUCCUUCGCAGCUCACCACUCACAAACUGAUCAAUCACAUCACUUUUAUUAUAUGUAUUUAUCCACUCUGGCACAUUAGAAGACCUUUAAAAACAGUUUAAAUCCAAAUGUGGAGAAUAUUAUUUUCCCAGACACGAAAAAGAAGGAAAGAAAGCAGAAGUGAAAGCAUGAGAGUUAUAUCUGAUCUCAGAUGUAAUAAAGCAUAAGAUUACUUCAUUAGUAAGAACAUCCAAAUGUUAACACUGGCGCUGGGAGAGUCUCAUAAUUCGCUCUGUCCUUUCUACUCACAUUCAUUCGCUGUCUUUCUUCACGUUGCUGCAGCUGCUAGAAAUAGCACAUGGAGUCGGCUUGUGGAAAUGCCACAAGCGACGGCUUAUGACAAAGCUGCAACUACAAGCUGCUAGUGGCAAGCCUGCCAAACAUUCAUUAACAAAUAGCAAAGUUUUCACUAAGUACGAGCAGACAAGAGCAAUCAAGUGCGGCUGUAACGCACAGUUUCUUUUUCCCUUCGCCUGUCAAACCUGUUCCUGGAAAGCAGAAAAAAAGUUGAACUUGAAUUGAUUUCUGGUCUGUCUGGUUAAAUAAAAAUGAAUCUAAGGGAAGAAGAUAUCUCCACAGGUAGAAGAUAAAGUGUGUAAUGUUUGUGUGUUUGUGUGUGCGGAAAAGAUUUAUUGUUGCCGCAUGUGUGAAUCGUGACUGACUGUUUUGUCACCAAGCGUGUGAAGCAUCACACGGCGGUGACACAUCUCUGUGACAGCUCCCAGCAUAAACAGUGCAGCUGGACUUUGACGGCGAUAACUAGUGACAAGGAGAGCGAGGGGAGAAAGGAAGGAAAGGGUAGGACACUUGUAGAUAGUGGCUGUAGGCCUGACUUCAUGGCUCUACAAAGCGCCUCGAGCAAAAGGCUCUGACAAUACAACUGCAAAGAGAAAAAGGGGAACUCCAUGAAUCGGCUCCCUGCAUGGCUCGGAAUAAAGCCACCCUUUACUUCUGGGGGAAAGCAAGUCAGGCCUUUGCUCCAGUUUAGCGUGCAUGUGCUACCUUUUGAGGUGGUGUUUACGUGCACUUAAAGGUGGGGUAGGCAGGAUUCUGUUAAAGAGGCAUCUUUUUUUGUGGUGUAUAAACAAAAAAGCUUUUAAUAUCAGUCGAUAGUUAUUAGAUAUUGAUGACAUUUGGUAAUAUAUCGAUAUUGCUGUGUUUUUUUACAUCUGUGUAGUCAGAAAGCCAUUUUCCUCCUCCCUCAACCUGAUUGGUUGUGAGGCAGAUGCUGCUCCCCCGUUCAUGAGCCCAAACAAAGUUAGCGUGCUACAUUAUCGGGCAGUAGAAACCAACAAGAAAGUUCGGAAAAUUAUCUGAAUCCUCCUUUGGCCACGUCUGCCGACACAAGCAAGGAAACAAAGUAAACACCGGAGACUCUGGAGGAAUAACGGGCGCUUAAAAAGGAGGUAGACCGGACAAGAGCUAAAAAGCUGGGUUGAUGGGGGACGCUUCAGGACCUGUAACCUUUUUGCUGGACAGGUAAACCGCUUUAACAAAGUAAGACAAGUGUCUGUAACAGAAGUGUUUCUUGUCAAACGGACCUGCUGCGUGUUGUAGCGCCGCUAAACUGUCCUCCCUCGGCUCCUGGACUAUGUCACUUUAUCCUAGUUGUAGAAGUCCUGCAAACAUUGUGUUUGCUGGUAGUCUGUUGGCAUCUACUGUAGCACCAAUGCUUUUGACUUUCACGUCAAACUGGUUGGGAUGGGUUUAGUGUUUACAUUCAAGAUUUCUCAAAAAAACUGGCACUUCCUCAGAUCCUUCCUACCCAACCUUUAAGGACCUUCGGCCCCUUCAUUUUUGUUUCAAGCUGCCCCGUCCCUUGCCCCUUCUGGAUGAAACCUCCAUAAAAAACCAUCUAUUUACUGUCCUAAUAAAGAGCUCUCGGUUGUAUUCAUCUAUAAAGGCAAACUCCUCACAAAAUACACACAUUUACACACAGCCUUUCGUGACAGAAAUAAUAAAUGUGGUUCAAACCCCAGACGCAAGUUCCAAAAAAGCUAGGUCUUCCCAUUUUAUGAAGCAGGAUAGUCUCAUUGUUCAUCUUUACAGCUGUCAGUUAGCAGGGGAGGCCCGCUGCAUGUGUCAGCCUUUUCUUUAAUAGGGAACACGGCUUCUCGACGCAGCCAUCGAUUUACCUCCUCCACCCUUGCUAUCUCCACCAUCAGCCAGAGGUUUGAUCAGCACAACUUAGAUAAAAUUUGCCCCGGCUGAGUGUGCGUGUGUGUAAUGAGAAACGAAGGAGAGAAUAAAAUUCAAAGAACACAGAAAUACUUUUGUGUGUAUGUGUGUCUAUGUGAGUGUGUGUGUGUGAGUGCGUUUCACCUCGCUGCAUCCGUUCGGAGUGCAGCAGUAAAUUGAGCAGCUGUAUUGUAUCCUGUGAACAAAAGAGGCCCAUUUGUAUAAAUUUGGCUUGUAGAGGGUUUUGGCUCUCAAAUGCGCCCCUGGCGUAGCAGAUUUGAUUACACGGGUAUCUGUUGCUCUGCCUCAGCAGAUAAAACAGGCCUCCAUCAAUGCUAGAAGUCAACGUGCCUUGAACACUUCAAACGAAACUUCAUCUGUGGGCAACCCAGUUAGUUUAUCCAGACAAACCACCAAAUAUUUUAUCAUACAGAUUUGUUUCAUGCUUUUGGCUAUUGCUUCAUAUAAUAUUUUCUUUUGGGGUAAGUUGGUCCUGUUGGAAAUUCAAAGAUAAAAGAUAUUUUGCGUGAAGUUUGCAGCAUUGCUAUCCGGAUAGCAACAACAAUCUCUUGUCGCUUCACCGCUUUGGUGCAGGCUGAAAUCUUUUUUUAUUCCUUUUUGCAAAAAUUUAGAAACAAAAACAGAAACAAAACAAAAAGAUUGUAUACAGUUAUGUAUACAGUCAAGACUGAAUAAAGCUUCACAAAAAACCUGCAUAUGAGUACCUGGGUGAGCAACUUUCUUACACCUACAUUAGCAUCACAAAAAUAAGGUGUUUGUUGCUGCUAGAUCAAAUUGAACAUUUACCUUUGCAAGUCCAACAUUAAGGAGGAUGAAGAGGUGAUACUUGAUGGGCCAUUAUGUGUUCAAGAAUGCCUUUUAUGCAAAUGAACCUCAUUACUUUAAACAAUACAAUACAAGCUUCUUACAGCUGGUGUGAAACUCCAACUACCUGCUGACAGCUGGUGUUAACCGUACUGCAGCAUUCAUAGCUUUUCAGAGAUCAUGACAACAUUUCAUCUUCUGGUUGAUUUAAAAAUAAUAUAUCUGUACAUGAAGUCCUUCCCUGCCAACUUAGUUACUUCACAUGUAAAGAGAUUAGAGCUCUGUCAGAAUAAAGUGCAGCUUUGCACAUGAGAUGAUAAUAUCUCAUGUCCACAAAAAGAUACGACAGAAAAGCAAACUGCAGAACUUCAUAGCCAGGUGUGCGUUAAAUGUCAAGAUAGUGAACUUUGCAAAUUGGAUAUUAAAGGGAUAUUCCAGCGUAAAAUUAAAUUAGGGUCAAACACACCAUCACACUGAGUAAGACACCCCGUCGAGAGAUGAAUGUUGCCGAGCGCUUGCUUCUCUAGUUAUACCAACUUUAGUAACGACCGUACUAUAGCAAUACACACUCACCCACUCUCUUCCAGCAGCCGCUUAUUUGUUUGGACGAGUCCAUCAGUGACUGCAGCGGGGUGACGCAGCUCAAGGAAGAACAUUUAUGAUCAUUUCUGCAGUGCAAAAUGAUUAAUGUGGUGAUGAUUAUGAGCUGCGUCACCCCGCUUUAGUCAUGAUGGACUUGCCCGAAGUCUCCGUACAAACAAGCAGCUGCUGGAAGAGGGUAGGUGAGUUGUGUUUAGUCUCUUUGCUAAAGAAAUGAGGCAAAGGUAAAAGAUGUUUGGUGGCUAGUGCUGUGGAUAGGACCCUAUAUGUAUUGUUGAUGAAGUUCUGAGCAUUAUUUGUGGCCAUAGAGUGGCUUUUUGGUUCGUGCGUGGCUCCCGAGACCGCUGUGUACUGCUAUCCUGCGGUCGUUACUAAAGUCGGUAUAACUAGAGAAGUAAGCAGUCAGCAACAUUCAUCUCUCAACAGGGUGUCUAACUCGGUGUUACGGUGUGUUUGACCCUAACUUAAUUUUACACAGGAAUAUCCCUUUAAGGCCAAGCUGGUAGGGGGGCAGCUAAUGCAUAAUUCGUAGUCGUAAUCAAAUUUUGGCAGAAUCCACCUCCAAACAUUCAUUUCUACUAUACUGUGCCAACUAGAGUUUCAAAAUGGCCAACUUCAAUGCCAUAAACAUUUCAAGACUAAUGGAUCGACGGGCAGAUAGAUGGACAGUCAGACAGAUGGGUGGAUGAGAAGUUGUGAGAUUUCAGGAAAAACUGUUUGAAGUCUUAGAAGGAUUUGCCUCAUCGAGAAGCUAACUGUCCAAAACCUGUCCCCGUUUCACCCUUUGCUUUCUUUGUAAAUCUUAAGCAUUUAAACUUAAGACUGCUCAUAUCCUCCCAUCUUGUUUUCCAUUUUUAUGUUAAAAAUGAUAGAUUUGGUUCUGAGUACAAUCAUUUUCUCUUUAACUCCUCAUCCAAAAAUCCCCUUUGUCAAUCAUUCCCUCCUUCAGGUCCAGAGGUUUAUGACUAUGUUUCUAUCUGUGGUUGAAAUAGAAAACCUGUCAAGAGUAAACUCCCUGGCUCUUCAACUCAUAUGUGAACACACAUAUGCACAAUCUGGAAUAAGUCCAUUUUAACCACCAAAAUCAAGUGCAUAAGUAGUGCAGAGUACAAACACACACAGGCAAUACAUUCCACCUGCAACCCUCCUUCCACCAUUACUUUUAAAAACCAUGAGGGUCUCAAGCUCCCAACCACCACCCCCAACUCCUCCUUCCCCAAACCUCUUACUCCUUUAAGCCUCAACAUAAUCACUUUCUCAUCUUUUGCUCUGAUAAGUUUAACACUUCAGGGUCUUUUUUUAAUACUAACAGACACAAAUAUUAAUUUAAGUGUGUGCAUGUGUGUGUGUGUGUGUGUGUGUGUGUGUGUGUGUGUGUGUGUGCCUCGGCUCAAAGACACCCAGCUCCAUUAUCUCCACCUGUUGAUCAUCACCCUCAUUACACUGUAACAACAAGAGAUCCUCCUGUUUAUACUGGCCUGGCGCACCACUCACACGAGAUUACAUCUACCACACACAGAGCUGAUCAACUUAAGUGUGUAGGUAUGCAUGAAUGUGUGUUUGUGUGUGUGUGUGCUAUAGUGAAACACAGAAUUUAACCCUCUCUUCCUCUCUCUCUCUCUCUCUCUGAAAGUGGAUGAUUUGAGUCAUCAAGCAGGAACAAUUUGUCCAAACAUAUAAGUCGUCUCUUUGAACACGGACUGUUGCAGGCUCAUGUGAGUGUGAACAUUGCAGUCGAGAAUUUUCACUAAAUUAUCCAAAUCAGAACUACCUGCUACAGAAGUGGUUUAGUUUAGAAAAAAGAGACUGCAGUGUGAAGUACGGCAAUGCUUCAAAAAGGGCAGUGCAAAUGCUUGUGUUUGCAAAUAUAACGUAAAUUAGCCCCAUUGUGAUAAAACCUCUAUUGAUGUAGGUCAUGAUUCAAUCAAAACAGUGCAGACAUAGACUGUAUAUACUAUGGACAACUUGGUUCCGCCUUCCGCCAGUAUACGGAUUUGAAGCCAAAAAUCUCUCAGUAUUUCCGUGAUUUUUCUCUACUUCCUGAAACUGACAUUGCGCAGUAGCGUUGUACGCAUUCGGCGGGAGAGUCGCAGAGAUGACGACGCUUGGCUCAAAAAGCGUAUCCCUCAGGUGAGCUACUAAAUCUUCGUACACCCAUAGGCUGUAUCAAGUGUCAAUCAUAGAAAACAUGAACCUCCUAAUAACUUUUAAAAAUUGAGCUGUACAGAAAAAAAGAGGACUUGAGCACAGACGAGUCUUACACUAACUAUAUGUCAACAUCACAAGCAGACGAGAGAAAAAUUUAUAUACUGUGUAAUAAAUUUCUAAAGUUUGUCCACAGCUCCUCUGUCUGGUUGCCAUUGGUUUCGCUGAGUUUCGGGUCACAUGGGCACUGUGUUUGAAAGCCCAGGGGUUAUAUGAGGGGCUGUUUCACCUGCUCUGGGAUGGAGAGGUGAUUCUAGGUAGCCGUAUUUUUUGUUGACUGCGUUUAUGUUCUUUGUUUGCGUUGCGUUGUACAUUGCAAAGUGUACACAUAUUACAUCUUAGGGCGCAUGUAAAUCAUUGGCCACUGUAGAAGCGUUUUUGUGUUAUUAAAGCUCCAAAACCUCGAUGAACUGUGGGUGCUUCUAUGAAUCAGCAGUGGCGUGUCACACAAAUUUACAGGACCAAUUCUCUGCCUCAAGCGACUUUUUUAAAGGUAGUGGGAAAGCUGCAAUAUUUAUAUUGUAAUCAAAGUCAAUAUGAGGCAAUAAGUUCUGUUUGAAAAACCAUUACAGCUACAGAGUUUAAAAAGUAACAGCAAAAAUCAGUUAAAGUGAUUUGAGAGGUUACCUCCUGAGCUUUUGUGCUACAGUACUGACGGGGCAGAAGAGAGAAUGUUUCACAUUCAUCUUUGAUAUUAUAAUAAAAAUCCAUCAAUAAUAACUACAGUGCCCGACCAUAGAGAAAGAGACUACACCCAUCCCCCAUUCAUGCCAGUGCCCACUGUGAAAAACCCUGAACCAGGAACAGCCCUUGUGGUAACUCAGGCAUGUUCAUGGUGGCUGUGGUUGUUGAACUUGGAAAGUGCCACUCAAAUAUUUGACAAAUAUAUCUUAAGUGAAGGGGUCCAAACCAUCAGCCCCACACAGCAGACCUGCCAUAUAUCUUCAGUGUCGAGAAUAUAUGUGUGUGUGUGUGUGUGUGUGUGUGUGUGUGUGUGUGUGUGUGUGUGUGUGUGUGUGUGUGUGUGUGUGUGUGUGUGUGUGUGUGUUACUUUUUUGGGGAAUGAGAUUUGUAGACGGUUAAAAUUCCUGGUAUAAAAUGACAUCUUAUUUAGGACCACUUAACUAGGUUGACAUGACUGGAAUGCAUUACGUUGAGUGUGUGUGUGUAUGUGUGUGUACACGCAUGUGUUGUACCUGCGCGUGUGCUAUGUAUGAGCAGAUAGCCCUGAUUGCUUUUUGUAGCAUUAUUAACCUCACCGGUCAGGCUCGGUAAAUGAAAUGUCAAACAUCAUAUCCGUUAGGAGGAAGAUCUUCUCUCUUCCUGUCACCCUCCCUCCAACACACACAGUCUGUACCUUUGUACCUGACUGCAGAAAUUAACAUCCUUCAUAUAGAGGACACAAAUCCGGGAAUACACUCACAUGACACUCCAAAAUGACAAUUCCUACAUAACCCCGCUCUCCACUUUGCUAGAUUGAUAUGUAAAUGAAGGUAAAUGGAUCUCAUCCCCGAAACCUGACCUCACCAGGCUGCUCCAGGCCGGGCCGUCAAUCAGCAGCCUCAUCAGCAGCAGCAGCACAGGAGCAAUAGCAGCAAAGCAUGCCUUAAUAGUUCUAUCAAUCCCAUCAUGCCCCGCAUAUGUUUCCCCAUGGAUCAGACUUGAAACCUGCAUCUAUCAUUACUGUGCUCUGAUACUGCCAUUAGAGUAUCUUUUCCUCUUUGCGGCUCCCCCUUCUAUCCUCUUGUCUGAGGAAAGAAUGUAAAAUCACUUUCCAUUCAGAAGAGAGAGGGAAACAGGGUUUUUUCUCACAGGGUGUGGAGCUGGAAAACAGCACUUUCACUCACCAGCACUGAGGGCUGCAUUCUAAAUACAGUCAUGACAAUCACAAAAAGUAAUCUGACCGAGAUCGUGGAGGAUUAGGGAGGACCUUUUUCUGCUUUCUCUGACUGAUUUCGAGGAAAUCUUUGAUUGGGGAUUGCUCUUCUGAUAUGUGAUUGCUCUUAUUGUACAAGUGAUAGAUGAUCUACAAUCUAAGAUAAUGUGCUGUAAGCAUCACUGACGGGAAAUCUUGGGUGCAGAACCAGAACGAGGCUGUGAUCACACUUGACUGAGAACGAAUGCAGAAAAAGUUCAAAUUCAUCUUGCGGCACAGCAGCAGUUCAGGAUACAAAGGUCUCUGCUACAAUACACACAAAGUGUUGAGAGUAGCUCAACUUUAAAGUCUUGUAGGUUCUUUAAUGUGUUUACUAAUUAUCACAGCUGUAGCAGCCGGUUUACAGAUUCUUAAAUACAAUGCUGCGCUCAUUAACAUUUUGAGUGUAAAGACUGAAUGUGCAGCUGAGAUGUUUAAACAUCAGCUGGCAGCCAAAGUCCUGCAAGCAUUUCCACUUUCUCUUAAUCAAGAAAAAAAACUGUUCAUGUUACAGUUCUUGACUCUACAGUAGGGCUGGGCAAUAUGGCCUCAAAUCAAUAUCACGAUAUACUGAGCAGUUCACCUCAAUAAUGAUAAACAGAUGAUAACUACUCCACAAGCUGCUCACCCCCUCCCACAUUAACUUCAUCUACUUCAGCUGCUACAACUUUUGAACCGUCCUCCAUCUCCUCACCUGUCUUUCCCUCCUUGUUACUGACUGGAUGGGGUGGAGUCACGUCUCCAAAACCAACUUUUAUUUAUUCAUUUAUUUUACACCGAAAAUAUUGACAUGGGCAUAAUGACGUCGGUUAUUGUCGUGAAAUUUAGUAUCGGUAAAUUUUCUGUUUAUCGCCCAGCCCUACUCUAUAGCAUAUGAGCUGCAGCUGUUUUUUUACAGGUGAAUAAGUAGAGGUAAAAGACAAAAAAAAAGGAAAAACAAAACAAAUUAGAAAAGCACUCGGAGAGCGCAGACCUCCGCCAAGCAGCUCAUGUCCCCUCUUAUAUUGUGAUUCACACCAAAACUUUUACUGUUACGUGUCUUUUAUUAACGUUUAUUUGUGUUUAAACUGGUUUGUUCACUGUUUAUAAUGUUCCUAAAACUAGAAAUGCCCUGACCAGGAUUCCAACCCAGGAUGUUCUGGUUGUGAGGCGACAGUGCUAACCACUACACCACUGUGCCGCCCAUUGGUUAUCUUUCAGCAUUGACAAUUCCAACAACCCUUUUUUUUGUGUGUUCUGGAUCACAGUAUCCAGAAUUUUGUCCGGAUCACCACCAAAAUUUAAUGGGGCUGAGACACACCUCUGGUGAAAAUUUCAGGUCAAUCCGUCUGUAACUUUCUCCGUAAAGUUGCUAACAGACAAACAGACAAACAAACGAACAAACCAACGCUACCGAAAACAUAACCUCCUUGGUGGAGGUAGCAAAAAAGACAGGACAGGACAACAAGGUCUCUGAUGAAGCAAUUUUUAACUCCUAAGAGCAUGCACCUCGGUCUGUUCUCAGUUGACCUGAAAUCUGCCCCUGCAGGAUACUUUUAGUGAACUGGCAGCCUGGAGUCGGGCCACGGAGAGCUUGAAAAGGCUUUUAUCAAAAUCAUGGCUUCUGGAUACUCCACACAAGUUCUUUGGAGGGUCAGGUUACACAGAAGAAGCAGCAAUCAUGUAACAAUCAUGCUCGACGCAGAAAGCUCACAUUCACUCGCAGAAUCACAACUGAGCUGCCAGGUUCCUAUUAGCGAGCUGCGGACUUCAGUGUGGCCAAGAAGAGUUCACACGGUGAUGUGAAGCAGACUGUAAGGGAAACUGUGAGAGCAGGUUCUGAUUCAUCUGGAUUCAUCUAAGCUGGGAGAUUACGUCCAGGUAUUUACACAAGACUUCAGAGCAGAAAGUCUACACGCCCUGCAGUCUCCUGUCUCUCUAGCUGUGUGUCUGUGUCUGUGCUUGGAGUGUAUGUAGUAUGCUUGUGUGGCAUGCGUGGGAUCCUGUAUUUUCUGAAUGUGAAAUCAGAUUAAAUGGGAGGGUAGGCUGUGGGGUGCGCUGCAAGUGCUCCGAUAUGCUCGCUUUACUCUGAGGUAUGCGAGACUGAAGCGGAGUGUGUGUUUGAAAGAAAGAGUGAAUCUGUGUGUGUGUGUGUGUGUGUGUGUGUGUGUGUGUGUGUGUGUGUGUGUGUGUGUGUGUGUGUGUUUGAUGGGGGCAGGGAUUGUGGUCCAUGGCUCUCAGGUAUUUCACCUGGGGGCGUUUGUGCAGAGGUUUCACUUAUAUGUGCAUCUACAUGCAUGCAUGUGUGUGUGUGUGUGUGUGUGUGUGUGUGUGUGUGUGUGUGUGUGUGUGUGUGUGUGUGUGUGUGUGUGUUUGCAUCUAUAAAGUAAGAGCCCACCUGUUGAUGGCUCUGAUAAGGUGCCCUCAGGCUCUGUCUCCUCUUACAUUAACAGACUGGACAGGUCAUUUCCUGAACGUGACCACAACAUGAUCUGAACUUUGAACUAAUCUAAUAACUUGUUCAUAUUAAAUUGAUUCUGACUUAUUGGUUCAAAUCAGUGCUGCAGUUAGAAACUUGUUAGAAACUUUUAUGAUAUUCCAGAAUCUUGUGAAACGUUUCUUUCUUCCUACAUGAGCUAAACUGGGAAACUGUAUAGGCCUACUUUUCGAAAUAUAUUGGAUUUGGGGGCAAAUUUUAGCCGCUCCCCUUUCCUUCAUGUCAUCAGCUUUCUCUUCUCUGUGUGUUCUGUCUAUUUUCAGCUCACUUAUCCAAUUAAGGCAAAAAUGACAGGAAAAUAAUUAUGAAGAAACGCAUCACCUGACCCCCAGAUGAUUGCUCUAACAACACUGUGUCCCAAUUAAGCAAAUGAAUAAGCCAGGUGGCCAACUGCACUUCUUAUUAAAUCUUUGUUGUCAUGGGAACAAUAAAAUCACAUAAUUAACCUUGUGAACCUGUUUCAGUUUGAUGUAGUUUGAGCAUCACAACUUCUCUUGUCAAAAAUACUUCAGUUUGGGUUGAUUACUGGUACUUGUAACAACAAAAACAUGGUGUGAAGUCUUACUAAAUCAGUUAACUCCACUUGAUACUGAUUAGAUCAUUAUACAGGAUUGUAAAGGUGCACUUGUGCCGCGUUCCAGUUGUACUUGGAAGUCGGAAUCUCUGAGCUCCCAGUCAGAAAUUCAUCUGGAACGCCCCCUUGUAGUCAGAUUUCCCACUCGGAAAGUCGGAUGAUCCUCACCAACCCCGACUUGGCGACAACGUCAUAAUCCAAGAUGGCAGCACAGUGCAUCAACAGUAAAGAGUAACAGUGAAAGCUCUCCUAAUGUAUAAUUUAUUAGCACUUCUGUUUUGUUUUCCUGAAAUUAAACAAGUGAGAUAUGUUGUACUGCUCAACAUCGAACUAUGAACACGGUGCUAUGGUGUUUGUAAGAGUAAAAUACUGAAUUAUACGUUGUUUACAACUGGUUUAGCGAACAACAACGGCUAACGACAGCUAACAAUUGUAAACAACAGCUAACAAAGGGUUACUGUAGGCGUCCAUCUCGGUUUUCCGACUUGUUAACUGGAACACCGUCAACUCGGCUGUAACGUCUAGCCAGUUCCGACAUCCGACUUCAAAGGUCCAGAGCAUAAAAUCCUGCAUCAGCAGACAUUCUCCUAAACUGCACCAGGACCUUAUGCUGAGUUUGAGUUACCUCGGAAGUCAGAUGUCGGAGCUAAAAAAAUUGACGUCACAUCCAAGUUCCCACUUUUUCAGCUACCAAGUCAAUAAAAAGCAAAAUUGGAGGCCUGAAACAAGAUGGCUACAUCUACGAAAGUUAUUUUAGCGCUUGCCUUGUCCGAAUGUAAGGUAAAAUAACUUUCGUAGAUAACUUAAAAUAACUUUUGUAGAUGUAGCCAUCUUGUUUCAGCCUCAGAAUUUGUUUUUUUCGGACUUGGUAACUGAAACGCCGGUAACUCCAGUGUGACGUCAUUUUCAGCUCAGACUUCUGACCUCCGAGGUAACUCGAACGCAGCAUUACUGUCUUAUUUGCACUCUCAAAGACAGCUGAUCCUACAUUAAAUGGUCUAAGAAGUGAACUUCAAUGAAAUAAAUAUUCGACCUAUGGAAAGAUUUUUGUCUUACCAUCUUCUGUACAAAUCUGUGUCACACACAAGCACUCACAGUUAUGUUCUCAGAUUGGGACAACACUUAGGAAGUGGGUGGGGAAGCAAAAAUCCCCUCACAGGAGGUUGAGUGUUUUUUUUCUGUUCCCUGGAUUCUUCCUUCUUUCAAAUGUAACUUAUUUCAGGAGGAUUUCAUAUGAAUAGAAAAGUGUAAAUGCAGUAGCAAUGUUAGUUUCUCUUCUUUGCUCUUUUGAGAUUCAACUCUCUCAGCUGCAAAAGGAAGCUCUCUCUCU